rnacentral:rRNA from 1 species
UACGUAGGGGGCUAGCGUUGCUCGGAAUUACUGGGCGUAAAGCGCACGUAGGCGGCUUCUUAAGUCGGUGGUGAAAUCCUGGAGCUCAACUCCAGAACUGCCUUCGAUACUGGGAAGCUUGAGUCCGGGAGAGGUGAGUGGAACUGCGAGUGUAGAGGUGAAAUUCGUAGAUAUUCGCAAGAACACCAGUGGCGAAGGCGGCUCACUGGCCCGGUACUGACGCUGAGGUGCGAAAGCGUGGGGAGCAAACAGG